UACAGAGGUCUCAAGCGUUGUUCGGAUUCAUUGGCGUAAAGAGCUCGUAGGCGGUUUGUCGCGUCGACCGUGAAAACUUGGGGCUCAACCCCAAGCCUGCGGUCGAUACGGGCAGGCUCGAGUUCGGUAGGGGAGACUGGAAUUCCUGGUGUAGCGGUGAAAUGCGCAGAUAUCAGGAGGAACACCGAUGGCGAAGGCAGGUCUCUGGGCCGAUACUGACGCUGAGGAGCGAAAGCGUGGGGAGCGAACAGG
rnacentral:rRNA from 1 species